AGCUGGUUUUUUACCAUUUCAAGAUGAUAAUAUCAUGGCUAUGUAUAAGAAAAUUCACAAGGGUGAUUUCAAGUGUCCACCUUGGAUGUCAUCUGAUGCAAAGAAGUUGAUUGUAAAGAUGUUGGAUCCGAAUCCGAGAACUCGAAUUACUGCUUCAAAGAUUAUGGAGUCUAAUUGGUUCAAGAAGACUGUGCCAAGGACUUUGAGGAGUAAGGUGGAGGAAGAGUUUUCUCAUGUGGGAGACGAAGAUUGUGUAGGGAAGGCGAAAAAGAUUGAGUCUUUGAAUGCUUUUCAUAUCAUUUCAUUGUCGGAGGGGUUUGAUUUGUCUCCUUUGUUUGAGGAAAAGAAGAAGAAGGAGAAGGAACAGUUGAGAUUUGCAACAACAAAGCCAGCUAGUAGUGUGAUUUCGAAGCUCGAGGAAGUAGCUAAAACGUCGAAAUUCAGCUUGAAAAGGAGUGAUUCUAGUGUUAGAUUGCAGGGGCAAGAGAGUGGGAGGAAAGGGAAGUUGGGAAUAUCUGCUGAUAUAUUUGCUGUGACACCUUCAUUUCUGGUUGUGGAGGUGAAGAAAGCUUGUGGUGAUACAUUGGAAUAUAAUCAAUUCUGCAGCAAAGAG
rnacentral:misc_RNA from 1 species